rnacentral:rRNA from 1 species
GACGAACGCUGGCGGCGUGCUUAACACAUGCCAGUCGAACGGAAAGGCCCUGCCUUUGUGGGGUGCUCGAGUGGCGAACGGGUGAGUAACACGUGAGUAACCUGCCCUUGACUUUGGGAUAACUUCAGGAAACUGGGGCUAACACCGGAUAGGAGCUCCUGCUGCAUGGUGGGGGUUGGAAAGUUUCGGCGGUUGGGGAUGGACUCGCGGCUUAUCAGCUUGUUGGUGGGGUAGUGGCUUACCAAGGCUUUGACGGGUAGCCGGCCUGAGAGGGUGACCGGCCACAUUGGGACUGAGAUACGGCCCAGACUCCUACGGGAGGCAGCAGUGGGGAAUAUUGCACAAUGGGCGGAAGCCUGAUGCAGCAACGCCGCGUGCGGGAUGACGGCCUUCGGGUUGUAAACCGCUUUCGCCUGUGACGAAGCGUGAGUGACGGUAAUGGGUAAAGAAGCACCGGCUAACUACGUG